rnacentral:rRNA from 2 species
GAUGGAUUGGUGCCUUCGGGAACUGUGAGACAGGUGCUGCAUGGCUGUCGUCAGCUCGUGUUGUGAAAUGUUGGGUUAAGUCCCGCAACGAGCGCAACCCUUAUCCUUUGUUGCCAGCGAUUAGGUCGGGAACUCAAAGGAGACUGCCAGUGAUAAACUGGAGGAAGGUGGGGAUGACGUCAAGUCAUCAUGGCCCUUACGACCAGGGCUACACACGUGCUACAAUGGCGCAUACAAAGAGAAGCGACCUCGCGAGAGCAAGCGGACCUCAUAAAGUGCGUCGUAGUCCGGAUUGGAGUCUGCAACUCGACUCCAUGAAGUCGGAAUCGCUAGUAAUCGUGGAUCAGAAUGCCACGGUGAAUACGUUCCCGGGCCUUGUACACACCGCCCGUCACACCAUGGGAGUGGGUUGCAAAAGAAGUAGGUAGCUUAACCUUCGGGAGGGCGCUUACCACUUUGUGAUUCAUGACUGGGGUGAAGUCGUAACAAGGUAACCGUAGGGGAACCUGCGGUUGGA